UGGUCGUGCCUACGGUACGUACUGGCUUCACUGGUUCCUCCCUUCUGACAAACCAUGAUGCCAUUAAUUUGGUGUUGCGGGGAAUCAGGACUGUUACUGUGAAAAAAUUAGAGCGUUUAAAGCAGGCUUAAGCUUGAAUACAUUAGCAUGGAAUAAUGAAAUAGGACGUUUGAUCUUAUUUUGUUGGUUUCUAAGAUCGACGUAAUGAUUAAUAGGGACAGUCGGGGGCAUCAGUAUUCAAUUGUCAGAGGUGAAAUUCUUGGAUUUAUUGAAGACUAACUACUGCGAAAGCAUUUGCCAAGGAUGUUUUCAUUAAUCAGGAACGAAAGUUAGGGGAUCGAAGACGAUCAGAUACCGUCGUAGUCUUAACCAUAAACUAUGCCGACUAGGGAUCGGACGGGAUUCUAUAAUGACCCGUUCGGCGCCUUACGGGAAAC
rnacentral:rRNA from 2 species